GAACCCUUGGCGCAGCGGUAGCGCGUGUGAUUCCAGAGACGCCGAAGGCGAACUCGGUUCCACAAGGUCGUCCGUUCAAUCCGGGCAGGGUUCA